GAGGAAGAAGGCGCUAUGCGUUGUAAACUUCUUUUUCGGAGGAAUAAAAUUUCGUACGUGUACGGGACUGAAGGUACUCCGGGAAUAAGCAUCGGCUAACUCCGUGCCAGCAGCCGCGGUAAUACGGAGGAUGCAAGCGUUAUCCGGAUUUAUUGGGUUUAAAGGGUGCGUAGGCGGACUAAUAAGUCAGUGGUGAAAACCUUCAGCUUAACUGGAGACUUGCCAUUGAUACUGUCAGUCUUGAGUAUGGUUAAGGUAGGCGGAAUGUGUAAUGUAGCGGCGAAAUGCUUAGAUAUUACACAGAACACCGAUUGCGAAGGCAGCUUACUGAGCCAUAACUGACGCUGAUGCACGAAAGCGUGGGGAGCGAACAGGAUUAGAUACCCUGGUAGUCCACGCCGUAAACGAUGAUCACUCGCUGUUGGCGAUACACAGUCAGCGGCUAAGCAAAAGCAUUAAGUGAUCCACCUGGGGAGUACGGCCGCAAGGCUGAAACUCAAAGGAAUUGACGGGG
rnacentral:rRNA from 1 species